UCCCAUCAGAACUCCGCAGUUAAGUGCGCUUGGGCCAGAACAGUACUGGGAUGGGUGACCUACCGGGAAGUCCCGACACUGCACCCUU
rnacentral:rRNA from 1 species